CCUACGGGCGGCAGCAGUGAGGAAUAUUGGACAAUGGACGCAAGUCUGAACCAGCCAUGCCGCGUGCAGGAUGAAGGCUCUAUGAGUGGUAAACUGCAUUUGUAGGAGGGUAAACCACGAUACGUGUAUAGGGUUGAACGUAUCGUACGAAUAAGGAUAGGCUAACUCCGCGCCAGCAGCAGCGGUAAUACGGAGGAUCCGGGCGUUAUCCGGAUUUAGUGGGUUUAAAGGGGGCGUAGGCGGUUUGGCAAGUUAGAGGUGAAAUGUCGGGGCUCAACCCCGAAACUGCCUCUCAUACUGUUGGACUAGAUCGUAGUUGCGGUAGGCGGAAUGUCUGGUGUCGCGG
rnacentral:rRNA from 1 species